rnacentral:lncRNA from 1 species
UGCUAUGCCAGCUUAUCUGCUGGCUGCAGGAGCGCCCCCUGCCAGCUUUGCCAUGCCUAUGACAACCACUGGCGCCCGCAGAAGCCGCCCGGCCUGCCCAAGGCACCGAAGCUCGUUGCCCCGACCAAGCCCGCCACCGCUGCAAGCUCCAUCUCUACCUCCACCGUCGCCCACAUCUCGACCUCGCCGCGAUGGGGCGAUGAGGAUGAGGACGAGGCUGACGGACUCGACCUGAGCGACCUCUUUGAGCAGACGCCCUGGGUGAAGCAGGGACUGGCGGAGCUGGCCGCGGCCGAGCAGCAGCAGGCGGAAGCCGCGGCGGCCGCGCCCGCGGCAGCGUCAGAGUCUGGCGGCAGCAGCAGCAGCAGCAGUAUUGCCCCUCGCACCAGCAUUAGCAGCAGCGGUGGCGCGAGCAGUAGCUGGGCGGACGAGGUUGAGGCUCAUGAGGAGGCGGAGGAGGAGCUCGACCUUGGGUCGCUCGCCGACUGGAUGAAGGAGGGCCUGGCGGAGCAGGCGGCGGCGGCGGCGGCAGCUGCCAGCGGCACCAGCGGCAACCCCAGCGGCCGCCGCUGGGCGGAUGAAGUUGAGGAGGAGGAGGACGGCGAUUUCGGCGCCUACCUCGCCUCGCUGUCGCCCUGGAUGGCAGAGGAGAUGGCGGCGAUGGCGGAAGCAGAGGCCGAGGGGGAGUGCGUGCUGGCGGCGGCCGAGGAGGAGCAGGAGGAGGCCGUCGUCACUGAGCGGGAGGACGCGCCUGACUCGCCGCUUAGCUCGUGCUGCUGCGCCGUGCCGGACAGCGCCCGCACCAGCCGCACCGCCAGCAGUUGCAGCCUGCUCUCGGUUGCGGCGGCCGCAGGCAGUGAGGCGCCGCAGCANNNNNNNNNNNNNNNNNNNNNNNNNNNNNNNNNNNNNNNNNNNNNNNNNNNNNNNNNNNNNNNNNNNNNNNNNNNNNNNNNNNNNNNNNNNNNNNNNNNNCGUAUCAGGCGGGCCCGCGAGUAGCCCAUCUGCGUCAGGGCGGCAAUGAGGUUGGCGGAUUCGAACACAAAAUUCUCCACUUCCAUGACGACACGCCGCAGCCGGUGGAACUGGCCGGUGAAGAUAUUGCGUUUGCUGGCCUCAUUGACGUUGUAACUGUAAUGCACUGGCCGCAUGCCGUGUCACCGCCGUGCGCCUACCUCACCUACGCUUUGGGGCCUCUACAACAACAGGUUUAGCAGCAAACUUGCUAGAUCCUAACGUUUGCCGCCGCGUACCCGGUAUUGCACAUCGGCACCCGCUGGAUCACCGCCAACCUACGCCAAUUUCCACAGCCGUCAAUCUCAUCCUGCACGGCUGCAUCCCUGGCGGCGGCGGGAUCAGGGGUUACCGGCCUACGCAGGGCAGAGGGACUGGUAUGAAACGAGGAAAUGAAACAGCGGGACACGGAUGGCGCAGGUCCAGGAACAAGGUGAAGGCGAGGAGGGAGGCUCGGGAUUGGGCGCGUGUCGCCUGCAUGGGCGCCGAGCCUCUGUCCCCAUCACCGGAUAAAAGCAUCGCACUCAUUCUGCACAUUCAAUAGAUGCAAAGACAUCUGGCAAACAGCUCUGACGAUCACUCCUUAACAACGAGCACCUGAGCUUAUCGACGGCAAAAAGAAGAGCAUUUCUAGGGCUCUUCGCGACCACUCUCGAUUCUCACCGCAUGCGCCUGAUAUCUGUAGCAAGUACCACCACUGUCACGGAUUAGCAGCUUCUAGCGCGAAUCCGUCCCGGGCACAGCGGGGAGACUCCAUCAAGCGAAAGAGUUGCGCUAGCAGCACGAUCGAGUUCUGCACACCGAGAGUGCUUGGUGCGGUCAAGAGCUACUAUGGCCACAUCACGGUCAAGCGCAAGUGCACCGGGGCUUGACUUUGAGCCGAGCCGACCGUUGCAGGUGAGCACCAUUCUCGUUCGGGCAGGGCCAUUUUGAGCCUUGAGCAGCUGCAAUAGGUAUCAGAUACCACAUGCAAAACAUUAGGCUUCUGAUGCGGGCUAGAUAGCGUUGCAAGUUUCGGGCCAGUAGUGCGCUCGGCUUCCUCGGCCCUCCUUGCUCUGCUGCGGCCACACUAGCUGCAUACUAUUGCUGCAUGUAUUGUCUCGUAAAAUGCGGUCGGUCAACAGCUUUGACCGAAAGCGCGUGCCUUUCCGGUGUGCCCGACUUUCUUGCCUGAGCCCCCGACCUCCAGCCCGCACCUCCUCGACCCCCUCCCGCUCUCUGCGCCCCGAGCCUUGUCCUCGUCCCGUGCACUCACGGCUUGUCCGCCCCCAUCUAUCCUUUCCCCCCGAUCUCGCUCGCACAGGACGCCUGGCGCCACACGCCCCGCAACGGCUCUGAUGAGAGCGAGCCCUACGCCAACGCCCACCAGCAGGAGCAGCAGGAGCCCGCCCCCAGCGCCUGCUGCUUCCCCCACAAGUCCUGCAUGCGCUGGUGCUAUGCCAGCUUAUCUGCUGGCUGCAGGAGCGCCCCCUGCCAGCUUUGCCAUGCCUAUGACAACCACCGGCGCCCGCAGAAGCCGCCCGGCCUGCCCAAGGCGCCGAAGCUCGCGGCCCCGACCAACCCCGCCGCCGCUGCAAGUUCCAUCUCUACCUCCACCGUCGCCCGUAUCUCGACGUCGCCGCGAUGGGGCGAUGAGGAUGAGGACGAGGCUGAUGGACUCGACCUGAGCGACCUCUUUGAGCAGACGCCCUGGGUGAAGCAGGGACUGGCGGAGCUGGCCGCGGCCGAGCAGCAGCAGGCGGAAGCCGCGGCGGCCGCG